GUGGGGAAUAUUGGGCAAUGGGCGAAAGCCUGACCCAGCAACGCCGCGUGAAGGAAGAAGGUCUUCGGAUCGUAAACUUCUAUCCUUGGUGAAGAUAAUGACGGUAGCCGAGAAGGAAGCCCCGGCUAACUACGUGCCAGCAGCCGCGGUAAUACGUAGGGGGCAAGCGUUGUCCGGAAUGAUUGGGCGUAAAGGGCGCGUAGGCGGCCUGGUAAGUCUGGAGUGAAAGUCCUGCUUUUAAGGUGGGAAUUGCUUUGGAUACUGUCGGGCUUGAGUGCAGGAGAUGUAAGUGGAAUUCCCGGUGUAGCGGUGAAAUGCGUAGAGAUCGGGAGGAACACCAGUGGCGAAGGCGACUUACUGGACUGUAACUGACGCUGAGGCGCGAAAGUGUGGGGAGCAAACAGGAUUAGAUACCCUAGUAGUCC
rnacentral:rRNA from 1 species